rnacentral:lncRNA from 1 species
ACACAACUAGCUCUCAUUCUAAAACUAUUUAUGACUCCAAGGUGUAUUUCCUUUUCAUUAGUCUGUACCUGAGUUAAACAUUUCCAAAGAAAAAAGUGUGUGUCCUGGAAACCCUCUGUGUUGUCAGUCCCAGCUGUUCAGAAGGUGCCCUGGUGUUGUAACCGGCCUGGUCGUCUGACGCCUGCACCCAGAGAUAGCAGUUAGAUCUUGCCCAGCCAGAGUUGGUCUGUGACGUGCCUGCAGAGUCUUCGUGUCAAAAAUGUACAUUCUCCUCCUGCAUCUCUGUGACCGUAUGAAGGAGAGAGCAGAUUGCAACUCUUUUAACACAUUUCUCAGAGUUCUGAAGAAUAGCAUUCUUUGAACACCACUUUGCAAGAUGUUGCUAAAAGAAGAAAUCAAGAAUUACAAUUUCAUCAUAAUCACUAUCUUCAACAAGUCUUCUAGAUACAUAAGAGAUGAACUCUGCUGGCAUAGAGUUCUCUUCUACUGAUUUUCAAAGGUGAAAAACUGUGUUCCCUCUUCUGAAGGAAGGAAGAGCAGAGGAAAAGCAUCUAGAUAUAUUUAUUUUCAGAUCAACUGAAGUGAGAGCUGCUGAUCCACUUGCACUAAUUAAAAUCAAUAGCCCAAACAACGAACUACCGGGAGACACUUGCCAAAUGUAAUAUUGUAUUGACAUGCAGGGAGAAGCCUACUUUCAUCCUAAACAAAUAGAGGGAAAAAACAGCCUUGAAUUUAGUAAAACCUGGCAAACUUUUUUUCCAUAAAAUUGAUUCUACAUCUUUACUUUUGACUGGAAGUAGAAAUAAUCAAUCUAAUUUUUAUUCUAAUUAGCUCUCCUUAAUUUUAUUUUAUUCUAAUUAGUUCUAACUAGGUUGAAACAAAGGAUAAAUAAACAUCUUUUUUUAUCUCAAGGCAUCCUAGUGUGAGUUUCUCUGCAUCUCUUAGGAACACAUAUAGAGUUCAUUUUAUUUUGAAAAUAAAUUUCAGGGUGGUUAAACCAUUUAUUGUACCUCACACAAUACAUCAAUUAUUAAGCUAAGAAUUUACGUUUUUAUUUACACAGUUUGUGAACCGCACAGUCACUC